ACAUAACCCCCUUCGGAAAAAGAAAAAAAAUAAUUAAAGGUGCAAAGGAGACCCGAUGCUUUUUUUAUUAAGGGUCGAAAGUAAUAAGUGUCGACGGUGGCGGAUUUACUUUCGUCAGAGAAGUCAGUCAAUCAAUUUACUGAUGUUUUUCAAUUGGGCCAGCAGUAGUAGUAGUAAUAAGCCAGCUUGCAGAGAGAGAGAGAAGAGAAGAGAAGAGAGGCAGGAUGAUGAUGAUGGGAGCGGUGAUGGCGGUGCAAAUAAUAAUAAUCUGAAAUAAAAGAAAAGAGAGAGAGAGACUACAAUAAAUAUGUUUAGAGGGGGAAUAAGAACAAACAAGGACUUUAAUAGAAGAGUUCAGAUGAAGACGAAGAAGAAGAAAGUUCUCCCUUGCUCGGAACAGAACAAGGCGGGAGAAACAGCGAAGAAGAGGAACACACGAGGGGGAGAUAACUGUCUGCUGUUUGUUUUGUUUGUUAGAGAAUUAACCGAUUGUCGGAAGAGAAAGAGAAACCCAAGUCUUAUCGGCUCUUUAUACCCAGUCAGUCAGUCAAUCAGCCGACGAAGGAACCCGACCUUACAAGCCACUGACUGUCGUAUUUACUCUACUUUCUUCUCUUUCCAACACCUCCCAGCUGCUGGCUUUGCAUUGCUUUUCGCCUUGAUGUCAUGGUGUCGCCAGUGACAGCUGCUUCUUGCUAAGUGUUGAUCGCCUUGUUAUUAACCUCACCAACCCCACCACCACCACCACUUACAUAUUGCUUUGUUUAUUCUCUCUUCUCACGACGACCAGCUUUCUCCUCUUUGUGUGUAAUCUAUGGUGAUAGGUUAAUAUAUCCACACAACAGUUACUAACCGCCUUCUUUGUCGUAAUUACGUACCUGCCUCACCUGGCUGAUCCGAGAGCGCAGAAGACGAAGGGGGGAGGGGGACAAUCAUUGUAACGUAAGUACCAGUAAUACGCUGGUAUUUAUUCGGUCGAUUAUGUAAUCACCUUUUACAUGAAUCGAGCUAAGUAAAGUUCUCCGUGACUUGCUACAAAUAGCAGAUAAAUCUCUGUAUCAUAUCCGACUACUUAUAGUAUGCAGGAGAUGAUACAUGCAAUAAUUUAGUCUUAGGAGCACUAUGUUUGAAAAGAAGAUGUGAUAGUCACGGUUGGAUCGUCUUUAUUCAUAGUUCUUACUCGAUAAAACCGAGGAGAAAACAACAUCAAAUGGUCCUUCGUCCACAUUAUUAUACGUAAAUGGUCAUCAACUUCGUUAUAUAUUCCUUUGAUAGACCGCCAUGAAAUAAGUGGUUUUUAUUUACAAUCACACACUGCUUAGUAUCUUUCAUGUCUGUACCAUUCCACUUAAAAGUUGACCUUGUACCUCGUUAAUAUAGAUAUAAACAAGACUUUGCAUUUAUUCCCACUUGUUGGAAUCGAUAAAAAAGAAAUACUUCCAGUCAUAUGCAAGCAUUGAUUUAAUUGACCGUAACUGACCUUCAUUCAGACACUUUGUUGUUAUUGUUGUCGUUCCGUGAUUGAGCAGAUAAGAUGAAAGGCGUACAUUUCAACCAGCUACAAAUAUUAGAUUCAGUAAAGCUGCAGAUCUUGUCAUGGGAGCCAGUGGCCAAAGAGGGUCUCCCAAAUGUUCUAUGCAGAACAUUUCUUACAUGUGGUUUACCCCUUCUGGACAUGGACAACAACGAUGUUGAAGAAAAGAAAACCAUCGUUACUUUCACCUCUCGUCUGGUCAAUGAAAUCUUCUCCCUUAAAUUGCUCUUGUAUCUAUCUGCUAUACGAUCUGUGAUGUAUCUUACUUAGCAAGGUUAUCGACCACUUCAGUUUCCACCUUCAUUUGGGACUAUUUCGUUUGGUGUACCCUUUGAACAAAUCCCUGGCAUCAAAAUCUCAUCCCCUCCCCUCCCAGGAAUCUGAAUCUAGAUGAGUGAAUGAAAGAACUAUUGGAGCUUCUUGGUAGUUUGACAUGCUGGUAAGAGCUGUUAAAUCUCCCUCAAAUCAUAUCCUAAUCCCUGGCAUCAAAAUCUCAUCCCCUCUCCUCCCAGGAAUCUGAAUCUAGAUGAAUGAAUGAAAGGACUAUUGGAGCUUCUUGGUAGUUUGACAUGCUGGUAAGAGCUGUUAAAUCUCCCUCAAAUCAUAUUCUACAAUUUUUUAAUAAUGAAGGACAACAGACAUGUGACAGUCACAACGAGGCCACUUUUGAUCAUAGAACUGCUUGAAUCAGCGCUGACCUUAAAGCUGAAGAACAAAGACUGGAAAAACAUUGAAUAGUGUAGGCUUAGUAGUAAACAGCAGAGGAUGGUCAUGAGCAAAAGAGCUACAAUCAGGGCUGACCUGAUGAUAAAGAGAACAACAACCUAAAUCUUAUGUACAAAAUAGUGUUAUUGCUGAGGAAUCAAAGGGUAAUUAUUAAUUCUUAGAACUGCAAAUUUCAUGUCCCUUUUGGCUUUGUACAGAGAAGAGAGAGAACCCUAAUGCUGCCACAAAAUUUUAGAACUACUGCCAUCUUGAAUCUAUCUCAAGAUGAAAAGGUGACAAUGGUUUUGAGUGAGUCCCUUUGAUUCCUGUUCUUUGUUGUUCUUGGUUAUGACUUGGUGAAAGAAGGAAGGCAAGUGCACAAUUUCUGUUUGCAUACUUAUACAAACAUGCAAUGAUCUUACAAUGAUGGGAAGAUGAUUUAGUAAAAUGAUUGGGGCCAAGAUGUAUAAGAAAGAAUUGGCAGCACAUUGUGACCAUGAUGUCUAAGAACAUCUGAUGGUGUGGUAUGUAUCAUCUGUGUGAUACAUACCACACACUUACACAUAUGUCUAUGAUUAAUGGCGGGGGGAGGGGAGAAGCUCUAUUACUAUUCAUCACUCUAUUGCUAACCAGUAAGCAUGCAGCUGCCAUCACUGUCUCUCUUCCAUUACUCCCUCUUCUACCACUGCAUUCCAGUCACUCUGUCUCUUCCAUCAUACUCUCUCUUUUUUCAUCUUUACACUCCAAUUCUUCAUCUAUCAUCCCUCUCUUUCUCUCUCUCAUUCAUCCUUGUUAAGUAGCCUUCAAUAAAUAGAGACAAACAUAGAACAAUUAGGACUUAUGAGUCUUGUGGGGGAACAAGACAACCUCAAUGCUGUUUGUGCCACAAUAUGAUACAUUCAAUAAAGCGGUGGUGAAGUAAACUAGCAAGGGGGUGGGGGCUGUUUAGUCUUGCUGGAAGUGUGACAAGCUCUCUAGAGCUGGUUCAUUAGAUUAAAAUGCUUUCUAUUGUAUGGUGUUCAGAAGAGCAUCCAACCACAGAUGGAAGUCUUGCUAAAAAUGGAUGAUAUGUGUGAGAUGUGAUCCUUCAACCAUGUAGGCAGGCUAAUAAGAACUGACACAGUCUGGGAAGACCCUUCUAACUUGGCUGUCUUUGGAAAGUCAUCAGUUCAUGUAAAUCACUCAGAAUAUGUGAAAUCAUCAUCAUCAUCAUCGUCUAACAUCCAUCUUCCAUGCUGGCAUGGGGUGAACAGUUUGUCAGGACCUGGUAAGGCCAGGAGCCACAACAGGCCUCAUUGUCUGUUUUGACAUGGUUUCUAUGGCUAGAUGCCCUAUCUAAUUCCAGCCACUUUACAAAGUGUGCUGGGUGCCAUGUAAAAAGCUUUUUACACGGCAUCAGCCUUUAUAAUAAAUUCCAGCACAAAGAAAAGUUAUGUAAAUGCAUUCUUUA
rnacentral:lncRNA from 1 species